GAGGUCUGAUAUUUCAUAGACUUGCUCCAAGUCUCUCUUUCAUUGUCCUAUAGUAUCGGUCCACUAUAGUGUACAUUACACAUGUAAUGUACACUAUAGUGGAUCGAUACUCUAUGACAAUGAAAGAGAGACUUGGAGAAAGUCUAGAUAUUUCACAGUACAG
rnacentral:miRNA from 1 species